GACGAACGCUGGCGGCGUGCCUAAUACAUGCCAGUCGAACGAGAGCGACCGGUGCUUGCACUGGUCAAUCUAGUGGCGAACGGGUGAGUAACACGUGGGUAACCUGCCCAUCAGAGGGGGAUAACAUUCGGAAACGGAUGCUAAAACCGCAUAGGUCUUCGCACCGCAUGGUUUGAAGAGGAAAAGAGGCGCAAGCUUCCGCUGAUGGAUGGACCCGCGGUGCAUUAGCUAGUUGGUGAGGUAACGGCUCACCAAGGCCGUGAUGCAUAGCCGACCUGAGGGGGGGAUCGGCCACAUUGGGACUGGGACACGGCCAAAACUCCUGCGGGACGCAGCAGUAGGGAAUCUUCCGCAAUGGACGCAAGUCUGACGGAGCAACGCCGCGUGAGUGAAGAAGGUUUUCGGAUCGUAAAACUCUGUUGUUAGAGAAGAAUAAGUGCUAGAGUAACUGUUAGCGCCUUGACGGUAUCUAACCAGAAAGCCACGGCUAACUACGUG
rnacentral:rRNA from 1 species